rnacentral:rRNA from 1 species
UACGUAGGGUCCAAGCGUUAUCCGGAAUCACUGGGCGUAAAGCGUCCGCAGCCGGAAGCUUAAGUGAGAUGUUAAAUCGUGUGGCUCAACCAUAUCGAUGCAUCUCAUACUGGGUUUCUAGAGGAUGGCAGAGGCAAGUGGAAUUAGCAGUGUAGCAGUGAAAUGCGUAGAUAUUGCUAGGAACACCAAUGGCGAAGGCAGCUUGCUGGGCCAUUUCUGACGGUCAUGGACGAAAGCGUGGGGAGCGAACAGG